GCGCACGUGGCGGAAUUGGUAGACGCGCCAGCUUGAGGGGCUGGUAUUCGCUUAGAAUGUGGAAGUUCGAGUCUUCUCGUGCGCAC
rnacentral:tRNA from 2 species